UCUCUGGGACUCCGUUUCCUGCGCCGGCGACGCCCGCCGGACCUCUUUCGAGGGGUCUGCCUCCUGGGUCUCCGCCCACCCUGAUGGGUGGUUUUUUGUUCUGGACUCUGGCCCUCCUUCCAUCGCCCCUCCGCCCACCCUGAUGGGUUGUUUUUUUUGUUGUUUUGAGCAGCUUUUCUCUGA